UUGGCCUCGAAUCAGGUAGGGAUACCCGCUGAACUUAAGCAUAUCAAUAAGCGGAGGAAAAGAAACCAACAGGGAUUGCCUUAGUAACUGCGAGUGAAGCGGCAAGAGCUCAAAUUUGAAAUCUGGCGCCUUUGGCGUCCGAGUUGUAAUUUGGAGAGGCAUCUUCGGGUGCGGCGCCGGCCUAAGUUCCUUGGAACAGGACGUCAUAGAGGGUGAGAAUCCCGUUCUCGGCUGGCUGUCCGCGUCCAUGUGAAGUGUCUUCGACGAGUCGAGUUGUUUGGGAAUGCAGCUCAAAAUGGGUGGUAAACUCCAUCUAAAGCUAAAUACUGGCGAGAGACCGAUAGCGCACAAGUAGAGUGAUCGAAAGAUGAAAAGCACUUUGAAAAGAGAGUUAAAAAGUACGUGAAAUUGUUGAAAGGGAAGCGCUUGAGACCAGACUCGGCGGGAGGUAUUCAUCGUCCCUUCUGGGGCGUGCACUUGCCUCUCGUCGGGCCAGCAUCGGUUGCGGCGGCGGGAUAAAGACCCGGGGAACGUGGCUGCUCUCGGGCAGUGUUAUAGCCCCGGGUGUCAUGCCGCCUGCUGCGACCGAGGACCGCGCUCGGCUAGGAUG
rnacentral:rRNA from 1 species